UGGGGAAUAUUGGACAAUGGGCGAAAGCCUGAUCCAGCCAUGCCGCGUGUGUGAAGAAGGUCUUCGGAUUGUAAAGCACUUUAAGUUGGGAGGAAGGGCAUUAACCUAAUACGUUAGUGUUUUGACGUUACCGACAGAAUAAGCACCGGCUA
rnacentral:rRNA from 1 species